rnacentral:lncRNA from 1 species
UAAAUAAAAUCAUGUAUUGUUUAGGGGGGUACACAUCUCCGUUGAUAGAUAGAGAGAUGAAGGAUAGAUGUAGAUGGAUGGGUGGAUGGAUAGAUAGAUAUGCAUUAUAUAGACUUCAAAAUAACUGAAACACACAUAUCUCCCAAAUUCGGCUGAAACAUAAAACUUAAUAAUACUGGGCUUGACUAAGUUACAGGUUUUAGAAGAUGCGUGUAUUUAAAAAGUUCUGAAGAAAAAAAUAUAUCCCAAAUAUUAACACCAUCCCGGACUUAGGAAAACCAUAAUGGGAUGAGAACAUGGAGGUACCAGCAGUGACAUAAGGCCUUUUUGUCUGGGAGACUAUUUUCUGAAGUCACGGUAGGAAGUGGUCUAACAGACCUCCAGAAAAACAACCGCUCCAUCUGCCGCAUCAGCACAAUGAGACACUGCAAUAUUCAGAUCUGGAUAAGAACCAACCCUAAAGAUUCAACAUUCAUUGGGAUUAACAUCAUUGCAUCAAGAGGGAAGAGGAAAUGAGUCAAAGAAUAGGUAGUCAGGCCCUGGUUCCUUGCAAAGCCCACUUCCCACACAGAACUUUAAAGUGGGAGGAGGGGAAUGAGAAUGGAGAGUGGGGGUUCUGGAGUGAGAAAACAGACUGAAGACCCAACCCCCUCCUCAGAGUUGAAAGGGAGCCUGGGCUUUGAUUCAAGAGCAGCUUCCCAGGGAACCUAGGAAGGAUGUUUUUUUGUUAUGUACCUUUUAAAACACAAGGCUCUCAAGCACCUCCCAGGAAACCUCUUACUCUCUGCUCAAGGAAUUCCUUCUGGAAGUGCAAAUUUCACCCUUCCAGGAUGAAUCAGAGAGCAGGCAUUGUUUAGGUAUCCUUGCUCUGCUUUCAGGAUGAGGACGUGCAGCAUGCAGAGCCUUGACACCUUGACAUCUGCUUCUGUGGGAGACUCACUCACUCCCUGCCUCCACCUCCUCCCUGGGAAGAGGGUGUGGGCUGAGCCUGUCACCUCCCCGUGUACCAUGGACUACAAAACUCCUGAACAGGGAAAGCUCCUAUUGCUGGAACAGAUACAUAUUUGUUAAUGUUGCAAUAAG